CCUCUUUAACUCCGGCGCCGCACGACCUAUAUAUGUGUCGUUCCCUUGGGAACUAUGGACAUAAACGCGCUCAUAAUAAACGGAUCGGACCCGGGGGCGGUACCCGGCGGCUCCACCAACCUACCACUGGCUGUUUCUUUCGUUUGAAGAGAUUGUUCAGGACUGUGGGGCCGAAAUAGGAUCGACGGACGUCUAAAAGGGUUAGCUUUGUCUCGGCUGUCUGCCACCGUUACCGGCGAAAACAGUACAAUUGCAAACGACAAUCGUGCUCCGGUUGCUCUGGCUGCGUAAGCAGUUCGAGUCGAACCGAACUUAAGUCCUUGGGCCUAGCAGCGUAAGGCGGGGUUCGCAGGUACCUGGCAACAGAAACCUGCACU
rfam:Rhodobacteraceae bacterium O3.65 TRIHO_contig000098, whole genome shotgun sequence.